UACGUAUGGAGCAAGCGUUAUCCGGAUUUACUGGGUGUAAAGGGAGUGUAGGUGGCCAUGCAAGUCAGAAGUGAAAAUCCGGGGCUCAACCCCGGAACUGCUUUUGAAACUGUGAGGCUGGAGUACAGGAGGGGUGAGUGGAAUUCCUAGUGUAGCGGUGAAAUGCGUAGAUAUUAGGAGGAACACCAGUGGCGAAGGCGGCUCACUGGACUGUAACUGACACUGAGGCUCGAAAGCGUGGGGAGCAAACAGG
rnacentral:rRNA from 1 species